CAGAUGCCCCAUGUCAUGACCUGUUUCCGGCCUGCAAACAUCAAAUUCAUUGAUGCAUUGAAGUCUUUUUUAGUGAUAAUGUGACACCAUGGACCUUGGUCCUCUGUAGAGGAAUAAUUUGUUUACUGGCUCUUGUGUUUUUUGUGCCAUCUGCUGACUUGCAACCUUUGGUGUUGAAAUUUGGGACACAGAGCAGGGGCAAUGGCCUUCCUAGGGAGUGCAGUUCGUCGGGCGGUGUCUGCAGUGCGGCCUCCUCUCUCUCCCCUAUGCCGGACAAGCGCCCAGUCCUACAGCUCAGAGCACACCAAGGAAAAAAGUGUCCCUUAUGAAAAGACACUCAAACAGGACGAUGGAGCCUCAUCUGGGCCGACUAAACCUCUACCCAGGUCAGUGGAUGCGGUGGUGAUUGGAGGAGGCAGUCUGGGCUGUCAAACCGUCUACCACCUGGCCAAAAUGGGGAUGACCAACGUAGUUCUGCUGGAGAGAGACCGACUGACUGCUGGCACCACCUGGCAUACAGCAGGCCUGCUGUGGCAGCUUCGUCCCAGCGAUGUUGAAGUUGAGCUCUUGGCCCACACCAGGAAUGUGAUCAGCAAAGACCUGGAAGAGGAGACGGGGCUCCACACAGGUUGGAUCCAGAAUGGAGGACUCUUCAUUGCCUCCAACAAGCAAAGACUGGACGAGUACAAGCGCCUUAUGUCGCUGGGUAAAGUUUAUGGUAUCGAGUCCCAUGUCCUGUCGCCUGCGGAGACUAAAGACUUGUAUCCUCUGAUGAAUGUUGAUGAUCUGUAUGGAACUCUGUACGUACCAAAAGAUGGCACCAUGGACCCAGCAGGCACCUGUACCACCCUGAGCAGAGCUGCCUCCGCCAGGGGAGCCAAGGUGAUUGAGAACUGCCCUGUGACUGGUAUUCAAGUGCGGACAGAUGACCUCGGGGUCAAGAGGGUGAAGGCAGUUGAGACCCCCCAUGGGACCAUCGAGACACCUUGUGUGGUGAACUGUGCAGGUGUGUGGGCCACUAAACUCGGGGAAAUGGCUGGAGUAAAGGUGCCUCUCAUUGCAAUGCAUCAUGCCUAUGUGGUGACAGAAAGAAUUGAAGGAAUACAGAACAUGCCAAAUGUAAGGGACCAUGAUGCAUCAGUCUACCUGCGCCUCCAAGGUGACGCCCUGUCUGUGGGUGGCUAUGAGCAAAACCCUAUCUUCUGGGAUGAGGUCUCUGAUAAGUUUGCCUUCAGCUUGUUUGACCUGGACUGGGAUGUUUUCAUGCAACAUAUCGAGGGUGCAAUCAACAGAGUUCCUGCUCUAGAGCAGACUGGCAUCAAGUCCACUGUCUGUGGACCAGAAUCAUUCACAGCAGACCAUAAACCGCUGAUGGGAGAAGCUCCAGAGGUCAGAGGUUUCUUCUUGGGUUGCGGCUUCAACAGUGCCGGUAUGAUGCUGGGAGGUGGCUGUGGUAGAGAGCUGGCACACUGGAUCAUACAUGGACGCCCUGAAAAGGAUAUGUACGGAUACGACAUCAGGCGCUUCCAUAACUCGCUGACAGACAACAAUCGCUGGAUCAGAGAGAGGAGCCAUGAGUCGUACGCUAAAAACUACUCCGUGGUGUUCCCCUUUGAUGAGCCGCUGGCCAGCCGAAAUAUGAGGAAGGACCCUUUCCAUCAGGUGUUGACGGAGCAGGGCUGUGUGUUCCAGGAGAGGCAUGGCUGGGAGAGACCUGGCUGGUUCAACAAAGAUGGGCCCGCUCCUGUUAAAGACUAUGACUACUAUGGAGCCUACGACAUUAAGAAGAAUGUACACCACAAAUACAACGAGCUGCUGGGCAAAGAAUACACUUUUGGCUUCCCUCCCCAUCAUGACGUGAUUAAGAGUGAGUGCCUCUCAUGUAGACACGGUGUAGCUGUGUUUGACAUGUCCUACUUUGGAAAGUUCUAUCUCACUGGACCAGAUGCCAAGAAGGCGGCUGAUUGGCUGUUUACUGCUGAUGUCAACAAGAAGCCAGGGUCCACUGUGUAUACCUGCAUGCUGAAUAAGGGCGGAGGGGCGGAAGCUGACCUGACAGUGAGCAGGCUGGAGUCUGGUGCUGCCAACCUUCCCCUGGCACCAGAGUCUAAUGGCGAUGCGUACUACCUGGCCAUCGGAGGCGGUGUAGCAGAACACAACUGGAACCACAUAAGAACAACUCUUCAGGACCAAGGUUUCCGCUGCCACCUGACAGACCACUCUGAGGAUAUGGGGAUGAUCAGCAUCCAGGGACCCAAGAGUCGAGAGAUACUUCAAGAGGUGCUCGACACAGACCUGAGCAAUGAAGCUUUCCCUUUCUCUACCCACAAAGUUGUCAAUGCAGCAGGGCAUCAGGUGCGAGCUAUGCGUCUGUCAUUUGUUGGAGAGCUCGGCUGGGAGUUGCACAUUCCCAAAGACUCUUGCCUUCCUGUCUACCAUGCUGUCAUGGCCGCUGGUGCAAAACACGGCAUUAUCAAUUCAGGCUAUAGGGCCAUCGACUCACUCAGCAUAGAGAAAGGGUACAGGCAUUGGCACGCCGACCUCCGCCCAGAUGACACACCCUUAGAGGCAGGACUAGCUUUCACCUGCAAACUGAAGAGUUCAAUCCCGUUCCAGGGCAGGGAUAGGCUGGAGAAACAGAAGAAGGAGGGUCUGAGGAGGCGAAUCGUCUGCUUCACCAUAGAUGAGAAAGUACCAAUGUUUGGUCUGGAGGCUGUCUUCCGUAAUGGCGUUCCUGUUGGUCACCUGCGGCGCUCUGACUAUGGCUUCUUCAUCGACAAAACUAUUGGUUAUGGAUAUAUCCGCAACCCUGAUGGAGGAGUGGUGAGUGCUGAUUUCAUAAAGAGUGGUGAGUUUACCCUGGAGAGGAUGGGAGUGACGUACAAGGCCAAGGCACACCUCAAAUCUACCUUUGAUCCUGAGAAUAAACGCGUCAAGGGCAUCUAUGCUUGAGUUGGACCACACUCGUGUAAACACUGAAACAAACACACUUCUGGUUGGUGAACAACUGAUUUACUUUUUACAUGCAGAUGUUAAAGUCUUUACCUGUCCGUCUCAAACGUUGAUCAUUUUAUUCAGAUUAUAUCUGUGAUUUGAUGGGACUGGAACUUGUACACAUUUUAAAAAAUUUUAUGUAUGGUGGAAAAUCUGUAUCAAAAAUAUCAGAGAGGUGCUGAUGUGAUGAAUCUGGUAUGAUUUUUGCUGUUGAAGGUGUUUCAUGUCCUCAGCAACAUGUUGAGAGAUAAAUAAACUGUGUAUUCCUGUCAAUGCUCUCAUGUGAGUAUUACUGUGAAAUCUUAUUAUCUUCAAUAAUCAAAGAAUUUUAAUCAGUUCACCUGAAUAAACCAAAAACAAUUCAGUUGUGACCCAGCUAACCUUGAAUAAGCCCACAGCUUUACAGGAUUGAUCUUAAGGGCUCAAAUAACAGCAUAUGAUCAAUUUUCACAGUUUAGAAACAGAAACCAAUUAAAUAUGUGUUCAUGUCCAUAAAUAAUCAAAACAAGGCAAUUCAAAAUGAGGCAUUAAUGUCUAAUUCAGUCAAUACGUUCAAGUGAUAUGCUUUGCAGGCCUCCACUGAAAACAGUGCAUUACCACUAUUUAUCUUAUAUUCAGCUUUUGUGAAGAACUUUAAGCUAACAUUCAUUAUUAUAGGUUUGAUGGCCAUUAUUAGAGUCAGACUGUUAAUUCUAAUUUUGUCUUAACAGUGCAGUGUCUUUUAUACUAUUCCAUUGGUGUAAUAUUUUAUUUCAAAUUUAUCCUAUGAGGAUAUGAGGACAGCAUCCAUGAGCACUGUCCUGUGAGAAUAGAAGAGUUCUCAGACUACAACCUAUCCCUUGAGGCAGUUUGAGUCAGAUUACAAUGACUGAUGUUUGUGCUGAUAAUAAUGACUAAAAACAGAGUUUUACUUGGUAGUGUGGAAGCAAGUGUUUAUCAGAGUUGGGGAGAAAAGGAGGAAAAAAAUACCCUGAGGCGCAGUUUACCAGCCGUGGACAAAACACUGUAGAAGAGGAAUGACAGAAACAGACCACAGUUAUCAGCAGCCGUUACAGAUAGAACUCAUUUGUUUUCUGAUCCGUCCCCCGUCCCCCCCACAUUCCCCCUCUGCUGUGCUCCAACUUCAAUGCUCUUAGGGUUGUUUUUUAACAGAUGCACUGUUCUCUAAAAGGGCUUAAAGAGCUCCCAUUUCUUGUUUUGCUGAUAAAUCAAACAGAAACAGACAUCGGUUAUCAGCAGCCAUUACAGAUAGAGAACCCAUUUGUUUUCUGAUCCGUCCCUCACUUUCCUCCUCUGCUGUGUGCCAUCUCCAUGCUCUUAGGGUUGUUUUUUUUAACAGAUACAUUGUUCUCUAAAAGGGCUCAACAGCUCCAAGUUCUUGUUUUGGUGAUGAAUCAAACUUGAGAUUUUUUUUAUUUUAUUUUUAUUUUGUAUUUUUUGCUUCACAAUAAAUCCCUCCCAGCAGUAAUCGCUUCACAUUUACUGAGAAGCAUCUGUGGGACACGCUGAGCAACAACACAUUAAGAACCGCAUUUGCCUCAUUAAUUAACACUUUCAGUUCUAAAGAUGAGCUCAGUGUAACGUUAUAGCAAGUGUUAUCUAAUCAAUGCUGUGGAAAAUUGAAAAUGUGAAUUAUGCCGAGUCGUCCACUAUAGUCCCUACAGGUUCUUCGAGACAAACCUUAAUUUGAGAAUUUACAGAGUAUGUACAUAGAGACUUAAUGGUGCUAAUUUGUGUAUUUGCUUUCUGUGUGUAUAUAUACGUAAAAACUAAAAGGGCUAACAUGUUUUCCUGCUACAGGUUUCUGUGUUCACAAUUCAUGUUCGUUUGAUUGAAAAAUGUCUUAUUUUACUUUCAGUUUUUGUAGUUAAACUUGAC